UUCCGCAGAAGCCGGAUGGAAGAGGCAGUGUGGACCACCAAAGCCACAGUGCAAGACUGGACCCUAGUUCCGUAGCCUCUUCGCUCCAAGCUACUCCAGAGGUCAGUUCCCCCACCACACCGGUGGCCGGCCAACCUCGCCAAGGGCUCCCCAAGGUUGCAGCCAGCCGGAACCACGGCCUCGCACGUGGCAAUAAGAGAAGAAUUUCCCCCAAGGUCGUGCCCAAGGCAGGUACAGUACCUGCCAGGAGGCGUGAGGAGAGAGUGUGAGGAGAUGCGGCCAUAAUUCACGAGUCCGGCCGCUCCCCGGGAUCCCCGUGUCCUCUCUCCUCACGGGCUGCCGGGCGCCGCCAUCUUCCUUCCCCGCCCCACUGUGGGAGUAGUUCCGGGCCGUCACUUCCGGCCGGCGGGCUCCGGUAGGAGGGCGUGGUGGCUGGAGAGGAUCGGAAUGUAAACGCUGGAGUGUGGCGGGCUGACUGGUCUGCGACCUGAAGGACUUCUGGGAACCGCAAAGCAGGUGUGCCUCCGUUGUCCUGAAGAAAAAGCCGCGCGCGGACGACUGGCCGACCCGCGCUCGCAGCUCCUAGACGUUGACAGGCAUCCUCGGGUGACCGGAUUGGAGUUCCACAAGUAAAGGUAGAUUGAAGAAAAGAUUCUACUUUUGAAAAAGAAGAGAAAAAUAGGUUGGCUGCUCCUUUGCUUUCAAAUAAGAUUUCUUCUCAGAAAGUCUACAUGUACUGAAUAAAAUCUGCAGUUUAUACAAUAUCACAUGACCUCAAAGUAAAUCCUAACUUUUUCAAAGCCUCGCUGAAUUUCCCACAAUAGAUAAAGACCCAGCUUUCCCUAGGAGCUGAAGGGAGAAAAAAAUCCCAACCUAGUAUGCAGGGUGUAACCAGUUGACACAGAACUAUGUAUUUGAAAACAAAAUAGAUUUCAAAACCUAAGGGGAGGCAAAUGAUUUGAGUAGAUUUUCUCCCAAGCAGACUUACAAAUGCCAGGAAGCAUGAGGGAAAAAAAACCUUAGCAUCAUUAGUCAUUAGGGAAAUGCAAAGCAAACCUACAAUGAGAUAUCAUUUCACAUCCACUUGGAUGCCUGUAAUCAGAAAGUCAAAUAAUAACAAGUGUUCACAAGGAUAUGGAGAAACUGGAACCCUCAAAGAUUGCUGACGGGGAUAUAAAAUUAUGUAGUCACUUUAGAAAACAGUUUAGCUGUUCCUUAAUAAGUUAAACAUGGAACAGUAUGAUCCAGCAGUUCCUCUCCCAGGCAUAGACUCAAGACAAAUAGAAACAUACAUCCACACAAAAAUGUAUAUAUGAAUAUUUAUAGCAGUAUUAUUCAUAAUUGCCAAAAAGUGGCUACAACCCAAGUGUCCAUCAACUGAUUAAUGUAUAAAUGUUGUAUAUCCAUACAGUGGAAUGUUUGGCCAUAAAAUGAAAAUGGAGUACCAAUACAUGCCAUGAUAUGUAUGAACCACAAAAACAUACCAAGUAUAAGAAGUGUCACCAAAGACCACAUAUUGGAUGGUUUCAUUUAUAAGAAAUGUCCAAAGUAGCUAAAUCCAUAGAGACAGAAAGUAGGUUAGUGGUUGCCUAUGGCUGGGAAGGUGAGUAGAGGUAAAAGAGAAGUGGCUGCUAAUGGGUACAAGGUUUAUUUAGGAUGGGGAGGAUGAAAAUGUUCUAAAAUUGAUUUUAGUGGUAGUUGAAAAACUCUGAAUAUGUUAAAAAUCGUUAAAUUGUACACUUUAAAUAGGCACAUUGUAUAGAAUAUGUAUUAUCUACCAAUAAGCCUGUUUUUAAAUUAGUCAGGAAGUGCUACUCAAGGAGAUCAAAGGUCCUGGUGUUGGACAGACAUCUACCAAUAGCUCUUCCCUCCUAUGUAGAGUGGAAGAUGUAACUGUCCAGAAUAGACGCAUUUCCCACCCUCUCUUGCAGCUUGGCAUGACUUUGCAAGUAAUUCUCAACAGUGGGAUGCAAGCGUAGGUAAUGUGUUUAAGUUCCAAGCGUCCUUAAUAAUGAGAUACCAGCCACAUACUGAAGACAGCAGAGAAAUGAAAUAGGCAGAGCUUGGGUCUCUACUGCUUGUGAAACUGCUGUAUCAGUCCUGGACUGGUUUCCUGAGGGACAAAUAAACUUCUAACUUGUUUAACACGGUAUUUGAGUUUUCCGCCCCCUCUGGUACUGCUUAAUCCAAACAAUAUACCAUUAAUGUGAUUAAUAGUAAAGUUAGUGAGCUCAUGCCCCUAGCUCAUAGUCAGGUCAAAAGCGAUAGCUGUUGCUAUUAAAUGACUCACCAUAUGCUUUAAUAAGCAAUGAUGAGAAAAUGUUAAUAGUUUUUUAAAUAUGUGUUUUCAAAAGGAAAAUUUAAGGGUCGUAAUGUUCAAAAAUUUAUUGUAAUACAGCAAUUUGAUGAAGUUUAUUCAUCAAAAUGAAGCAAUUUGAUGAAUCUAGAGAAAGCAAAAUUUACGCUAUUUAGGAAUGAGGGCACCAUGAGCUUAGACAAUUAGUCCCAGUUUGUCAGACACAAGAUCUGUGAGGUGGAAAAUGGGAACUUACUUACUUCAUAGAAAUAUUCCUAAAAACCAUCCAACUCACCUGUUCUCAUUCACCACACUAGCAUCUCAAAAUGUGUUCACCAGACUCUACUUAGGGUUCUCUAGGAUAAGGGUGCCGCUCAUCCCCAGAAAGGAAUGCUAAUAUGGAUGGGUUAAGAACAAGGAUAUUAAUGAGCAUGCUGCUGAGAGUCAGGCUUUUGGAGAGGUGAUGAAAAGGGAUGAACAUCUGGGUUUUCACUUGACGUCCUCUCUUUGGAGUCAGUCUCUUGAUUUUCCUGGCCUUUCGGUUCUUCUCUCUCAAAAUAAACCCCCACCCCUACCCAUCAUCCUUGAUGGUUCUUCCCCUGGUCCCAUGACGUUGGGAAGGUGAUGACAAGACGAGUCUGAAUAUGUCUCUUGCUUGAAAAGGGUCUUCUGCUUUGAAAGAGACCCAGGGAAAAGGAGGGUGCUCAGGCCCCUCCUUGUUAAACCCACCAGAUCUAUCCCUGCUCACCAAAGUUAGGGCUUCCACAUAAGCGUAUGGGGCGAGAACCUUAAUGUAGUAAUGAACAGUGGCCUCCCUCUGGUCUUAUCUUCCAAUGGAGGCUUUGUGAAGGUCCUGCAACUACAGUAAGUAACCCCAGUGUGGGGAAGCUUAGGGUAUUUUAAGAUUUCUUCAUUUGUCUGUCUCUUCAUGAUGUAACACUACUGAAUUAGCUAGGGUCCAGUCAGGAGACAGAAAUCACGCCGAUUAUUUGAAAGAAUUUAACCUAAAGAAAGGUUAAUGUGGUAUAAAGUUGUUAACUAGGUGUGGGUAACUAAGAAGCAGCUACCAGCUCUAUGACUGGGGAAACAAAAGGAAGAAGUUGGAAUUACUACAACUUAGAAACUUAGAGGAGUGGAAACUCAGGCUGUUAAGGAGGAGCACUGCACCCCUGGUGCUCUUGUCACUGAGCAGGAGCUGAUUGAGCUGGUUCUUUAUGCAUUGGGAAAGCUGCAAAUGGGGCUCAACUGUUGCUGGGGAUUCUAGAAGCUUUGGAGUAGUGCUCAUAGGAAUUGCAGACAGAUGGGAAGCAAUAGGAGGACCAAGUCCUUGGCCCAGUCUUGUAGCAUUACUAAGGCCUCAUUGGCAGAGAUUGUGGUUUGCAGGAAUGUGGCUUGCACUCUGCCAGCUCUAGGCACAAUAUGGAAGGGUAGCUUUGGAGCCAGGGCAGAUAACUGAUGGGAGUUUUUUGAGUAGAUGUUCCACUCUAAGUGUACAGAUUAGAGUUUCCAGUCAGUCUCCUCUGAGAUUGAGUAACUUAAAUCAGUUCCUAAGAUCUCUUAAUAGUUCCUCUGAAGUGACUGAUAACAUCAGGCUAGGAUCCUAGUCCAAGAUCACUCCAAUCAGUCAUUACACCUCAGCUGUAACCUGCCAGCCAACCUUUUCCAUCUUUACUCCCCAGGGCUUUAUUCCACACAUGAGUUUUGGAAUACCAAAACUGAAAAGUGCAGUACUGGACACAGAAAAAGGAAAAAGCAGCAGGGAAAUGCACUAUAACAAAUUCUAUUAACUGCCAUGGUAUUCUCCCUUUUUAAUAAACAGACCUUGGUUUUGUUAAGGGAAGCAAUAUGCCAGGAGAUGAAUCAUCAUUGCUUUAAGUUUAUCAGAGUACUGUCAGUCACAUUUCCAGAGUUUCUUACAGCCAGUGAUGGCUGUGUUUCUCAGUUCUGACUAAAGAGAUAAGGCGAGACUGGCUGGUAAGGUUUUGGUGGAUAAUUUUUUUACCAUUGAAAGAGCUGGGCAUGUGAAGGGAGAUGCUCCUUCUGCCUUUUUUCUUUUAUACUCAGGAUGUAAGACUGUGGAUGGAAUUGCUGGAACUGAGGCAGCUAUCUUGCAAUGAUGAGGUGACAAGCAUGAGGACAAGUAGACAUGCCAAGGAAGGCAAAGCAGAAAAAAUAGAGCCUAGUUUCUUGAGGAAAUUGUUGAGCUGCUACACCAAGUCAGGAAUAUCUGUCUGCAGACUGAUGGCUAUGGGCAUAUUAUGAUGCUUAAACUACUGUUUAGUUGGCUGUUCACUGCAUCCUGGAUGAUGCAUUCAAUGAGUGAGACAAGGAGUGAGCAACCUGACAUCAAAGCUUGCUGAGGACAGGUGACAUGGAGAGACAACUGGAAUCAUGUCAGCUAUCCAGAAAGGAUAUCACGUUUAACAAAAAACAGAUUUGUUAUAUCUGUUUCUAAUAUACAGACUAGUGGCUGUUUAUAAUAUGACUUAAAUCCACAAUGGGUUAAAUAAUGCAAAAAUAAAAGAAAUUUUGUGCAGAUUUGUUUCCUACCUUGUUUCUUGCCAUUUGCUGUGCGUCCAACUCCUCUGAUGAGGUCAGAAUGUCUGAUUUCCCAAACCAAGGAAAGCAUUUCUUGCCUUGUUCCCUUCUUGACAUCUUAGAGCUUCAUGAAGAAUACAGUGAAGUAUUCUAAGUAUAGCAGGAAACUAACCUUAUUGGGCACUACUGAUUGAGGAAAUCAUAACCAGUCACAGCAUUCUCACAGAUACAUUUUCUCUUAGCUAUGAGGUCCUCUUAAAAAUGAGUCUUAUGUAUUAUGGUAGAUGACUUGUCAAUCAAUAUGACCUGUCAAUCAAAUGACCUGUCAAUUUGUGUAAUCAAUAUUAUAAAAAUAGAGAAUAACAUGCUGUAAGGAGAAU